UGGCUCAGUUGGUAGAGCAUGGCACUUUCAAUGCCAUGGUUGUGGGUUUGAUUCCCAU
rnacentral:tRNA from 1 species